rnacentral:lncRNA from 1 species
AUCUGUUUUUGUCCCUAAGGGCUGAAAGAACCAAAUGAGGCCACAGAGUGUGGUAAGACCAUUAUGGCGGGUAUGGUCAGCUCAGCCAGGGAAGGGCCUGCUCAUAUUCUGGACCCUGGCACUUAUUGGUCACGUAACUUUAGGCCAAUCCCUUCACUUCUGGAGCCUCAGAUCCAGGAAGUUCUCGAAGACCAGAGAUGAAGAAGUUUUACUCAAGAACUCAACUCCCCAUUGGACUGAUCUUUUAAAGCUGUCAGGACUAUUUCAAUGAUUAACAUAUUAGUGAAAUGAAGCUUUGGCUUCUUUGGACUAUGGGAGAGUUAACAGAAGGGAUGAUGCCUGCUGAAGUAUAUGUGGCCUCUGUCCCCAAAGCAGCAGCAAUGAGGUCCCCAUAGGAAGCCCCACAACCCAUUCCUUCUCUGGAGGAGGCUGGAGUUGCUGCAGAGGCUGAGAUGAGGAGCUGAUCUGUCGAGGUGAGAGGAGAUUGAUACUAUAAACCAUUUCAUGCUUAUUUAUUUUAUGAUCCUCGUAGGCUGGAGUUUACAUGAAUUGGACAACAUGUGGAUUAGAUAAUUUGCCGGGAAUUAACAACCUCUGAUGGUUAUCAGUCUUGGGAGUGAUUAAAGCCGGUUGAUGAGAAUCAUUCA